GUUACCGCGUUUCUAACUUAAGAAAUUUUAUAGGACUGUAAUUACAUUUGAAAUCGUAUGAAAAUUUCGACUGGUGACUUUCCAUCAUCUCAAACAAAUGCUUAAUUUAUAAAAUCAAAAGUGCUGGAACCUCUGAAAGAGCCCUCUGAUGCCCUGUCGAUAUAAUUCUAGCUGUCAAACAGAAUGUGACUGGGCAAAAAAAUUUUCCCUGAAUCCCAUCCGAUGACAAGAUUACUAGCACUAGACGUGGAAGACCAAAGGUUCUUCUGCUUUCGCAGUUACUGGAUUGUUUGUUCUGUGUUUCUGUUUAUGAAUAUUCCACGACAUAGCAGGAAAAAGUGAAAUAAUAAUUCCCAAAUAAAUAAUGAUAAUUUAUUAUUUUACGAAUAAUAAUAAAAUGAAAUAAUAGAAUCAUUGUUCGACGAAAUAAUUAAGACAUACCGACUUCAGAUAUCCGAGAAAAAAAAAAAAAAAAAAAAUCAGCUUGCAUUGACGCGGUUCUCUUCAGAAUCAAAAGAAUAGUCUUAAGAGCAAAGUUUGUUUAGGAUCUUCAUAGAGAAAGUAACGAGCCUAUGUUCUGGUAUUGAGUACAAUGAUGAGGGGACAGUCUGCAAAGGAGGGGUUUUUGAGUUGUCCAAAAUUAAUGAAUUUGGGUUGUCCCCUUCUGCCUGUCUCACGUACUCAAUAAGUAAAGCUUACUACUUUAAAAUAGGCACUUCAAUAUCGUAACG